rnacentral:rRNA from 1 species
UACGUAGGGGGCAAGCGUUGUCCGGAAUUAUUGGGCGUAAAGAGCGUGUAGGCGGCCAGAUAAGUCCGCUGUGAAAUCUCGAGGCUCAACUUCGAGCUGUCGGUGGAAACUAUCUGGCUAGAGUCCGGAAGAGGAGAAUGGAAUUCCUGGUGUAGCGGUGAAAUGCGCAGAUAUCAGGAAGAACACCCGUGGCGAAGGCGGUUCUCUGGGCCGAUACUGACGCUGAGGAGCGAAAGCGUGGGGAGCAAACAGG